rnacentral:piRNA from 1 species
UCGAAGAUAUCAAAAAAAAUU